rnacentral:rRNA from 1 species
GGAGUUAGCCGGUUGCUUCUUCUGUGAGUGAUGUCCUUCCUGCCGGCUAUUAACCCGCAGGCCUUCUUCCUCACUGAAAGUGCUUUACAACCCGAAGGCCUUCUUCACACACGCGGCAUGGCUGGAUCAGGGUUGCCCCCAUUGUCCAAUAUUCCCCACUGCUGCCUCCCGUAGGAGUCUGGGCCGUGUCUCAGUCCCAGUGUGGCUGAUCAUCCUCUCAGACCAGCUACGGAUCGUCGCCUUGGUGAGCCGUUACCUCACCAACCAGCUAAUCCGACAUAGGCUCAUCCGAUAGCGCGAGGCCCGAAGGUCCCCCGCUUUCCCCCGUAGGGCGUAUGCGGUAUUAGCCUGGGUUUCCCCAGGUUAUCCCCCACUACCGGGCAGAUUCCUAUGCAUUACUCACCCGUCCGCCGCUCGCCACCAGGGAGCAAGCUCCCCGUGCUGCCGCUCGACUUGCAUGUGUUAGGCCUGCCGCCAGCGUUCAAUCUGAGCCAUAAUCAAACUCUGA